rnacentral:lncRNA from 11 species
GGAAGCAGAAGGAUAAUGUUCUUCACCCCUGGAGUAUGCGGUCGCCCGGUUUCAGCUGGCACCCUCCGGAGAGAUCUAAAGUGCCUAUCUCGCCAGCAUGCCUGCGCACCGGAAGUCCUCGACAUGCAUUUAUUUUU